rnacentral:ribozyme from 13 species
AGAUGAUGAGCGGAAAGCAUUCGUGAAAGAAGCGUUAGUUGUUCACCGCUGGAACGACAAAACCAUGAAGGAGAAAGUUGCUGCUCU